rnacentral:rRNA from 1 species
GACGAACGCUGGCGGCGUGCUUAACACAUGCAAGUCGAACGGAGUGGCGAACGGGUGAGUAACACGUGGGUGAUCUGCCUUGCACUUCGGGAUAAGCUUGGGAAACUGGGUCUAAUACCGGAUAGUGCAAGAUGAGCUCGCGGCCUAUCCUCUUGUUGGUGGGGUAAUGGCCUACCAAGGCGUCGACGGGUAGCCGGCCUGAGAGGGGGUACGGCCACAUUGGGACGGAGUGACAGCCCAUACUCCUACGGGAGGCAGCAGGGGGGAAUGUUGCACAAUGGGCGGAAGCCUGAUGCAGCGACGCCGGGUGGGGGAUGAAGGCCUUCGGGUUGUAAACUCCUUUCGACAGGGACGCGGUACCUGUAUAAGAAGCACCGGCUAACUACGUGCCAGCAGCCGCGGUAAUUC